CUUGUUUGCUGCCAGGCCGCCUCGCAAAGCCCUCGCAUGCCUGCAUUGCGCAAUACCUUCUAAAGACGCUUGUUAUGCGGAACGGCUCGCCCGGGGGAACCCCUCAUCAUCCAAUCAUUUCCUGCCACCACCGUAUCUCCUGGUCCAGCAGGUUUUCUCAACGGGUCGGCGCGGGAGAGGUCUCGUCCGGCUUGCGUGGGAAAUUCAGUCACGAAACAGCGUGAGUCAACGUUCUCCUUUUGGCAGCGUGGAGGUGACAAAUUUGAGUCGGGCGAAGCCACGAGCGAAAGCGGAGCGCUUGAAUGAUGAUUAUCGUUGUUUUUGCUUUUUUUAUUUUGCUUGUUAGUUUUGACAGUGCUGCCCAAAGGCGGCGACGCGAGGAGGAGGGCUGUGAUUGUUUUUUGGCAAGCGCGGAAGCGCCCAGAUGGACUCCAUCGGGCUCAACACGUCGCAGCGCGCACACUCGCACGCGCGCUCGGAGGCAGGCGAUAAAUCCACUGUGACGUCUCUUCUCAAAAACGAUGGCCUCCGAGCAGACUUUAUUUACAUCCUCAUCAUCGUCGUCACGCCGACGAUGACCAUCGCGUGCUCGAUGAGCACGGAGCAGCGACGGCCUCGGGCGCACGUUUCGAGGCCGAUAUCGCCGAUACUGAAUAAGCGGAAUUACAUUAUUUUUUUUUUUUUUAGAGAUGCCACAAGAUGCCCAAAGUGCUUCUUUCUAUUUGGCCUGACGAAAUGAAGCUCCUCACCUCAAGAUGGUGCCAACGCAAUACUUUUAUACCAGGCAGGGCUUUGGCCUGAAUACAAAAAAAAAAUCCAAAAUUAGGGCUGCGGCUAUUCAACAUUUUAAGAAUCGAAUAUUCUAUCGAUUAUGCCUGCACCGAUGAUUCGUGUAAUGGGAUAAAGAAAGAUUUUUAUUAAGUGGUGUGCAAGGGGGUGGGGGGGGGG